GAUUUUUUUGAUGAUACUGUUGCUCAAAGAGCUAUCGAAUUCAUGUUGGGAUGAUUUUAGCAGAUGCAAUGGGGCUUGGAAAGACUGUAAUGACUAUUGCAUUAAUACUUGGAAAACUAGUUAGGGAGAGUCCAGAUGACCAACAAGUUGAAGAACAAAAUCAGGAUUUUGACAACAAGAAAACAAAGAAUGGUCAGAAAGAUCCUCAAACACAAAAGCCUGCCCACAGUUAAAGGAGGAACUCUUGUUGUCUGUCCAAUGGCAUUGUUAGGCCAGUAGAAGGUAAGAUUUCGUUUCAUUUCAUAACAUGUUUACUACUAAUCCUGUAGUUAAAGUUGGCAUUCUUUUAAUGAUGCAAUUGAAUGAAAAAUUAAAAUAGCACAUUGUUGUCUGUCCAAUGGCAUUGUUAGGCCAGUGGAAGGUGAGAUUUCAUUUUUUCCAA